AUUGAACGCUGGCGGCAUGCUUUACACAUGCAAGUCGAACGGUAACAGGCCGCAAGGUGCUGACGAGUGGCGAACGGGUGAGUAAUGCAUCGGAACGUGCCCAGUCGUGGGGGAUAACGCAGCGAAAGCUGUGCUAAUACUGCAUACGAUCUAUGGAUGAAAGCGGGGGACCGUAAGGCCUCGCGCGAUUGGAGCGGCCGAUGUCAGAUUAGGUAGUUGGUGGGGUAAAGGCUCACCAAGCCAACGAUCUGUAGCUGGUCUGAGAGGACGACCAGACACACUGGGACUGAGACACGGCCAAGACUCAUACGGGAGGCAGCAGUGGGGAAUGUUGGACAAUGGGCGCAAGCCUGAUCCAGCAAUGCCGCGUGCAGGAAGAAGGCCUUCGGGUUGUAAACUGCUUUUGUACGGAACGAAACGGCUCUGGUUAAUACCUGGGGCUAAUGACGGUACCGUAAGAAUAAGCACCGGCUAACUACGUGCCAGCCGCCGCCGUAACAC
rnacentral:rRNA from 1 species